ACAGAGCGAUCGUUAGCUUCCAACCAGCUUGGUUAGGCUGGUUGGGCCCAUGGCUUCGGUUUUCGGGAUUCGUUUGAGGCGUCGAUUUCCAUUUGGGAUGGCGCUUUGCGAAUCUCACCGUUCGUUUAGUCUUCAUCUCAUCUCAUCUGUCGUUCGUUCAGCCAUUCCAAAGUUCGUCUGAGAGAUUUUCAAUCUGCAAGUUCUUUCAUCCUCUGUCCAACGUUUGUCUGAUAGAUUUUCGAUCUACGAGUUCUUCCAUUGUUUCUCUUCAGGUUUUGCAAGAUGAUAGUAGUGUAUGAGAGCGUCAAGAGGAGGCUGUGAGUAGAAGGCGGUUCUUUGCAGGCUAGACAAGGGGGAAAAUGGUCCCUUUCUGUUCACUUAUUCUCCCGGAAUAUUAUGCCUAAAGUAGUUAAAUAAGUUAUCACAACUAUUCAAAAGUAUAUAUAUGUUUGGUAUCAUCUCAUGUUGCUUAGCAAUGAAAAGAUGAAAGAUCAGUUACAGAGAAACAGGUGGUGCAAAUGUUACAUUUGUAUUUUUUUGAUUUCAUUCUUUUGUUGUGCUAAUGCCUCGUUGCCUUUUUUUUUUCCCUUCUAUGAUGUGUCUCUGGAACCAGCAAAAGUUCCCUCUUUGGACUUGCUCCACUUGAAGCAGUGCUAUUUAAUAUUGAUAGAACUCCAUGUGAUUUAGAUCCCAUUCAUUUCAAUGCCUUCCACAAAAUGCUUCCAUAGUUUUUGCAAGAUGUUAACAGUGUACAAGAGAAUCCAAAAGAGGCUAUGAGUAGAAGGAGGUUCUUUGCAAGCUAGACAAGAUUGAAAUUUAUUUAUUUAUUUAUUUAU